AGAGAGGCUGACAACUGGCAAGCCUUGAGAAUUCCUAAUUGUACUUCCUUAUUCUUACAUACCAUUACUGUCAGAGGAAAGAGUACGUAAUAUAAAAGAUAAAGACCAAAGGGUGCAGAAAAAAAAAGUAGAAAGAAAAUAUAAACUGGAGAAAACAGAUACACAAAAAGAAAACCAAAAUAAAUAAUUCAGGCGUGCAUGCCUGUAAUUCCUACCACCACUCAGUAGGCUAAAGCAGGAAGACCUUAAGGAAGGCCUUAAGUC